UACGUAGGGUGCAAGCGUUGUCCGGAAUUAUUGGGCGUAAAGAGCUCGUAGGCGGUUUGUCGCGUCGAAUGUGAAAACCCGGGGCUCAACCCCGGGCCUGCAUUCGAUACGGGCAGACUAGAGUUCGGUAGGGGAGUCUGGAAUUCCUGGUGUAGCGGUGAAAAUGCGCAGAUAUCAGGAGGAACACCGGUGGCGAAGGCGGGAUUCUGGGCCGAUACUGACGCUGAGGAGCGAAAGCGUGGGGAGCAAACAGG
rnacentral:rRNA from 1 species